rnacentral:lncRNA from 1 species
UUCACAGACCACCCUCUGGCCUUUGUUUUUCUUCUCACAGGACAGGUCUGUUGAACCCAGGCCCUCCUUGUCCUUGUGAGACUCCAUGUAAUUAACUACAGAGCUGUGCACUGUGGUCGUAUAGAGCUGGCUUUCCCAGUCAUAUGGCCUGCCUCAGCUGCCCACCCUAUCUGCCGGCCUAGGAUGUGGAAAGGCUUGGGAAGGGACUGACAGACAACUGACUGAAGGCUUGAAUGGUUAAUGUGAGCCACGCUGUCUGGGUGGCUCUACGGCAGAGUCGUGGUGCCUUCCUGAGACAACUCAGAGAGAGAUGGGGAUGCUCUGAAACUCCGACGUCAAAGUAAUGUGCUUCAAGUUUUCCGGGUAAAGCCUGUGGAAUGCCGUAAUCGUAGAAGAUAAGUUCUUUUCUGUAUUUGGCUAAUCAAAGUUGUAUGUGGAGAAGCCCCGUCAGUGUUAUGUUUAAUAUCCCCACUGGGGUGGCCGGUUGUUCUGGCUACACAAACCAGUAGGGAGUUACUACAGCGCAGGAAGAAAGCUAGGGUAUACAUACCACCGUCCACAACCACUGAUGGGUGCUCAGCU